GAUGAACGCUGGCGGCGUGCUUAACACAUGCAGGUCGAACGGAAAGGCCCAAGCUUGCUUGGGUACUCGAGUGGCGAACGGGUGAGUAACACGUGGGUGAUCUGCCCUGCACUUCGGGAUAAGCCUGGGAAACUGGGUCUAAUACCGGAUAGGACCACAUUUUGGAUGGUGUGGUGGAAAGUUUUUCGGUGUGGGAUGAGCUCGCGGCCUAUCAGCUUGUUGGUGGGGUAAUGGCCUACCAAGGCGUCGACGGGUAGCCGGCCUGAGAGGGUGUACGGCCACAUUGGGACUGAGAUACGGCCCAGACUCCUACGGGAGGCAGCAGUGGGGAAUAUUGCACAAUGGGCGCAAGCCUGAUGCAGCGACGCCGCGUGGGGGAUGACGGCCUUCGGGUUGUAAACUCCUUUCGCUAGGGACGAAGCGCAAGUGACGGUACCUGGAGAAGAAGCACCGGCUAACUACGU
rnacentral:rRNA from 1 species